UGGCUCAGGAUGAACGCUAGCUACAGGCUUAACACAUGCAAGUCGAGGGGCAGCAUUGGAGUAGCAAUACUCAGAUGGCGACCGGCGCACGGGUGAGUAACACGUAUCCAACCUGCCGCUUACUCGGGGAUAGCCUUUCGAAAGAAAGAUUAAUACCCGAUGGUAUAAAGAGUUCGCAUGUUCUCUUUAUUAAAGAAUUUCGGUAAGCGAUGGGGAUGCGUUCCAUUAGAUAGUUGGCGGGGUAACGGCCCACCAAGUCUACGAUGGAUAGGGGUUCUGAGAGGAAGGUCCCCCACAUUGGAACUGAGACACGGUCCAAACUCCUACGGGAGGCAGCAGUGAGGAAUAUUGGUCAAUGGACGAGAGUCUGAACCAGCCAAGUUGGCGUGAAGGAUGACUGCCCUAUGGGUUGUAAACUUCUUUUAUAAGGGAAUAAAGUGAGGGACGUGUCCCUUUUUGUAUGUACCUUAUGAAUAAGGAUCGGCUAACUCCGUGCCAGCAGCGGC
rnacentral:rRNA from 1 species